UUUAAUUGGUUAGAACGGUUUAAAUUCGUUGAAUUAGUAAUUAUCAUUUUUUAGUAAUUUAUGAUUUCUGAUUAAAAAUCAUUUUCACAGAUGUUUAGCACACCUGACCCACACUAGAAUGUGAGAUUUUCCCCUUAGGUUGCACCUGUUGCUGUUUUAAAUAAAAAGUCUUAUUCGCUGAAACAAUUUGACCAAAUGUUACAAUAUUUAUACGUUAUACUUUUUACCACAAAACACAAUCAAACUUGUAAUUGAAGAGCGUCACUUUUACAGUUCAUAAGUUCAUAGGUUAAGUCCUUUAUUAAUGGAAAAGUGAUAAUUCUGUCGUUUCCCUUGUCAACAUUGAGUUUGCCUCAACCAAUUGUUAAUAAAGGAAGCUAUUAAAACAAGAGUUCCAAAUGGUGAAGUUGAAAUCAUCCCUUCGUAAAUUUAACGGAAGCCAUUGCAAUUUGGUCAGUUAAUUAGUAACAACGAUUGGCCAUCUGGUCAGAAUGGGCAAAUUAUAUGAAAGACUUACUGCUUAGUUUAUUUCCAUUUUUCUCUACAUGUAGUUGUUUUAGUGGAGAAGACAAAAUGUUUAAAGUUGAGAGAUCUAUGGACGACAGACGGACGGACGAAUGAACGGACUCAAAGUGUUGACAAAGCGUUAAAAGGGAGGUACAAAUGUUAAUACGUAUUCUAAAAGGUUUGGCAAUUGUCACAAUGUCACCUUUUAUACAAAAUGUAUGUGUUCGUGCCUCAAGUUAAGAGUUUCAUUAAUGUCUGGAAGAUUUUAAUGGAGCUGUAUAGAUCUUCUGUGGUCACAAAUUGUAUUACAGCAAAACUAACGGGAUGACUUCAUAAACCCAUCCUCUGUUUGUUAUUCAUAAUGGUUCAUAUAUAUUUGCGUCGACUUAACAAUCGAUACCAGCACUGUAUAAACUUUUCGACAUACAAUGACUAAAUUAAAUUUGACAUUUCAAUUAAACUGUGUAUUAGUUUACUAUGAACGUCGAGUUAAUCAAGUACAUAAGUGUUGAAAACCGUCACGCUAAAUGCCUAAGAAUCCCGAAUAAAAAGUAAUAAAUCGCCAUCAAAGGGACGUGUUGGUAGUUAUUCUAUAUAUUGAGGAUUUUGUCAAAUCAUUGAAGUCGUCUGUCAUUGCAGUUAAAAGAACUGAUUUGAAGAUAUAUACCUUGGAUACGUAAAUGUUUGAACUGAGGCGGUUGACCUUCAUCGCCGAACAAGUUCCGAAAAUGAAGAUCGCGAGAAGGAAUAUACAGAGAAAAAUUUGCACCCAGUAGCAGUAUUUGAUCCUGUAACGAAUUUAGUGUUAGAUUCUAAAAGGAUAAGCGUGGAGUUUUGUUUAAUUAAGAGGAAAAUUAAGCACGAUAUUUCAAUCUUUCGUAACAGUUUCCGAGUUUUAAACUUAUUUCUGUGGUGCAUGAUAAUUUAAAAGGAAAAAGUUGUGAGAAACUUUUCUUGGUGUCUAAAGUUAAUAUACCGAAAGAUACAGAAUUGGUUUUGGACUAUGGAUAGACCUUGAGAGAUAGGAUUCUAGGAAACCCUUGAAUGACCGGAUAACUCUGUCGCUUCUAAAUUAAAUGUAAAAUGUCAAUUAUCAAUUGAGGCUAUAAAUUGUACAUGUACAGUGACAAAUGAUAACAGUGUGAAUGUGAAAAAUUGUGAGCUCUGCACAUCGUCCUCAAGCAAUUUUCGUGCUAAUAGCAGAAUAAAGUAAUUAAAAUAGCUGCCAAGGGGGAAAUCAUCAGAAAUUUAUGUAAAGAGGAACCUCCUAAAAGAAAAGACAAUUCUGAAACAAAAUCAACUAAUGUACAAAAGAUUGAUGAAACUCAUCAACAAAGGACAAACAACACAAAAACCUCUUAUGUUGUCCCGAAAAUACGUCAGAUCAAGCACAGAAAUUUACUAAAGGCGAAUUUUCAAAAUUAAUGCUGGAUAGAAGCAAUAUGCAUCUCGAUAUUUUG